ensembl:lncRNA LINC03060 long intergenic non-protein coding RNA 3060
AUCACUGUCUCCCAUCACUCCCAGAUGGGACCGUCUAGUUGCAGGAAAACAAGCUCAGGGCUCCCACUGAUUCUACAUUAUGAUCAACUGCAUGGGGUCCUACAGGAGAAGACCAAGAGACAGAGACAGAGACCAGGGAAAAUGACCGAUACCAUUCCUUCUCAGGGAUGCUACACACCCAUGGGGCAGAGGAUAAGAGGUUCCUGAAGGCAUCACCCCUCUGGCCAUGGCUGGUGUGCAGACAAAGCUGGAGAUUUGGAGUAGCCUGUUGUCCCACUGACUCUUAGACUGCCCCAGCUAAGAAGAACCAACUCCUCCUAUUACAGAUGAAAUAAACAAAGCUACUCAAGCUCUCUGGCAUCGCCCUGACGGUCAUCAUGUGCUUCACAUUUCCCUCCUGCCCCCCCUGAUUUUCUGGAAAAGGGAGAAACACACCAAAGAGAGUUCUAGAAAAAAUGAGAAUAAGAAAUUUACCUGUAAUCCUUGCUCAAGAAACUGAAGCUCUGAGGCCACAUUGUUCCAGCCUUUUGCAGCUCCUGCAUGUGGAUACCAGCACCAGCAGCUCCCCGACCAGGGGCCCCAGCUAAGCCCUCCCAGAGGAUGAUCUUGGCUUUGUACAUGGGGUGUCAAUAUCCUGUGAGUCCAACAGAGGGAAGACAUAAGAAUAUGGUCACCCAGGUAACAGACAUUUGUCUUAAUGUAUUCACUGUGUCAUCAGAAGCCACUUCUUAUCCAUCCUUGUGAAUACUUGAUGAAUGAGGAGUCAAUGAUUAAAUGAAGGAAAGAAAAGAGACUGAAAAGGAGGUUUUGUACAGAGGAAAUCCAGGCUCCUAACGAUGGCGAAAGAUGGGAAUAAAAGGAUCAGAACACUGAGCUGGAUCUUCAGUUCAUUUCAGGUAUGGAGAAGGGUAAAUGGUCUUUAAAGAAGGCCGACCUCAAUGAAGGUGUCUUCCAAGGCCUUGUCCACUCAAGGACAUGUUGCAUGCCUGAAACUGAGUAUACAGGAAAAGGAUAGAAAUGGAAUAAAAUGGAAACCCAUAAAUCACACUACCCUGCUAUGCAGUUUCAAACCACUGACUUAAUGAAAUGUUGAUCCACUUUGCCAUGGAUGCCCCACUUUUUAACUCCUUCUUCAGAGUCCCAGGAGGUGAGGCUCUUCUGUUUAACUGAUUUGCAGAAUUUUUGCUUCUGCUAUUACAAUGGCUUCCAUAGUUGAGUACCAAAGACACUUUACUAUGGUGCCACAGAGAUCAUUUUGCAGAUGAGGAAACAGACUGUUCUACUACCCAGGCUUUGGUUUUUUCUACUCAGUCUUGCACAAUCUCUCACUCUCAGCCCAGAACAUUGCUGCAUUUUUGUGAGCCAUCAGCAUCCAAAGUGAACACAGGGUCUAAAUAACUGAAGAUGGCAUGAGGGAACACACAAUCAGGUCUUUAAAAAAAGAAGAAAGUGAAUAGGCAAACUGAACAGGACAUCUAGGACUGAAAAGCCUCUGUGAACAACUGGACUCAAUAUGAAAUUGGCGUGAGCUCACAGAAGACCAGCUGAGUUCCAGAUGUGGUUGGGUAGCUUGGGUUAUGGGCCCGUAUAAAAAAAAUGGUCUCUUCUUGUAAAAGGAAUUCAAAAAAAGACUAAAAGUCACCCCAAAGA